UACAGAGGGGGCAAGCGUUGUUCGGAAUUACUGGGCGUAAAGGGCGCGUAGGUGGCCCGGUCAGUUCGUGGUGAAAGCGCGGGGCUCAACCCUGCGUCGGCCAUCGAAUACUGCCGCGGCUGGAGCACUGUAGAGGCAGGCGGAAUUCCGGGUGUAGCGGUGGAAUGCGUAGAGAUCCGGAAGAACACCGGUGGCGAAGGCGGCCUGAGCUGGGCCAGUUCGCUGGACACUGAGGCGCGACAGCGUGGGGAGCAAAC
rnacentral:rRNA from 1 species